AAAAGUGGUCCAUAGAAGGGGACAGUCCUGUACAUUAACAAUAAUUCGUUUAGUAAGUAGAGUGGAGGAAAUUCCGCUCGAAUAAGCCCUAAGGGCAAUAGGGAUACCAUUCUCUAAGGCUAAGUAUACGUGUUUAGCGAUAGUGAAAAGUACCGUGAGGGAAAGAUGAAAAGUAAGUCUAUGACUGGUGAAAUAGAACCUGAAUUAGCAAUCAUAUAAGCAGUUAGAGCUUGCGAAAAAAAAAAUCGCUGGUAAUAACGUACCUUUUGUAUAAUGGGUCAGCAAGUUAGUAGUAGUAGCAAGGUUAAACCCCUAGCGAAAGC
rnacentral:rRNA from 1 species